rnacentral:ncRNA from 1 species
AAAGACUUAGUCCUAACCUUACUGUUAAUUUUAGCUAGACAUAUACAUGCAAGUAUCCGCACUCCAGUGUAAAUGCCCUUACCCUCUCUUUACAGAUAAAGGAGCAGGCAUCAGGCACGCCCCGGCAGCCCAAGACGCCUUGCUUAGCCACACCCCCACGGGUAUUCAGCAGUAAUUAACAUUAAGCAAUAAGUGAAAACUUGACUUAGUCAUAGCUACUUUAGGGCUGGUAAAUCUUGUGCCAGCCACCGCGGUCACACAAGAAGCCCAAAUUAACCGUCACACGGCGUAAAGAGUGGUACAACAUUAUCCAGACAACUAAGAUUGAACUAUAACUAAGCUGUCAUAAGCUAAAGAUAUAUAUAAGAUCUUCCCUUAAAGUGAUCUUAGCACUUCUACGACUGACGAAUCACCACGAAAGCUAGGACCCAAACUGGGAUUAGAUACCCCACUAUGCCUAGCCCUAAAUCCCGAUGCGCUACCCUACUGAGCCAUCCGCCUGAGAACUACGAGCACAAACGCUUAAAACUCUAAGGACUUGGCGGUGCCCCAAAACCACCUAGAGGAGCCUGUUCUAUAAUCGACAACCCACGAUGCACCCGACCUCCCCUUGCUAAGCAGCCUAUAUACCGCCGUCUCCAGCUCGCCCUCCAUGAAGGCCUAACAGCGAGCACAAUAGCCCUAACUCUCGCUAGUAAGACAGGUCAAGGUAUAGCUAACGGGGUGGAAGAAAUGGGCUACAUUUUCUAAAAUAGAAUAAACUCUAAACGAAAAGGGGCGUGAAAUCGCCCCCGGAAGGCGGAUUUAGCAGUAAAAAGAGACAAUAAAGCUCUCUUUAAGCCGGCUCUGAGGCACGUACAUACCGCCCGUCACCCUCCUCACAGGCUACCAGAUAAACCAUAACUAAUGUACUUUUAUGCUAAAGAUGAGGUAAGUCGUAACAAGGUAAGUGUA